CUGCUCACCGUAAGGCUAAGGUUUCCGGGGCCACGUUGAUCGUCCCCGGGUUAGUCGGUCCUAAGGCGAGGCCGGAAGGCGUAGUCGAUGGAUAACAGGUUGAUAUUCCUGUACCGCGGAUAGCACGUUUGCACGUGCGGAGGGACGCGGAACGGUAGCUUGGGCGGGACACUGGUUUGCCCGUCGAAAUGUCUAGCCAGGAGUGGUUGGUAAGUCCGCCAUUCCGUUAACGUGAAGCAUGAGAAAGGCAGCUCCUUCGGGAGCAGGCCGAUCCAAGUGAGCCGAUCCGACAAGAAAAUCUCCGUGCGAAGUUCUAUACGCGACCGUACCGCAAACCGACACCGGUAGCCGGGUCGAGCAGACCAAGGUGAUCGAGAUACCCCUCCCUAAGGAACUCGGCAAAACAGCAGCCGUAACUUCGGGAUAAGGCUUGGUGUAUCCGUUUUUCGGGUACACCCGCAGCGAAAGAGUCCAGGCGACUGUUUAUCAAAAACACAGGUCUCCGCAAACUCGUAAGAGGAUGUAUGGGGACUGACGCCUGCCCAAUGCCAGAAGGUUAACGGCGCCCCUUUACGGGUGGUGCCCGAAGCCCUGGUGAAUGGCGGCCGUAACUAUAACGGUCCUAAGGUAGCGAAAUUCCUUGUCGGGUAAGUUCCGACCCGCACGAAUGGCGUAACGAUUUGGACACUGUCUCAGGGAGGGCCUCGGUGAAAUUGCAAUAUCGGUAAAGAUGCCGAUUACCCAUAGUAAGACGGAAAGACCCCGUGGAGCUUUACUACAGCUUGACAUUGCGUACGUGUCGCGUGCGUGCAGGAUAGGUGGGAGACUUCGAAGCGGCCGCGCCAGCGGCCGUGGAGUCACCCUUGAGAUACCACCCUUACGCGAUAUGUGCGCUCACCAGCAGGUUAUACCACCUGUCUGGGACCGUGUCUGGUGGGUAGUUUAACUGGGGCGGUUGCCUCCUAAAUGGUAACGGAGGCGUUCAAAGGUCGGCUUAGUCCGGAUGGAAAUCGGACUGGACGUGCAAACGCAUAUGCCGGCUUGACUGCAAGGCCUACAAGCCAAGCAGGGUCGAAAGACGGAGUUAGUGAUCCGACGACACAGUGUGGAUUGGUCGUCGCUCAACGGAUAAAAGUUACCCCGGGGAUAACAGGCUUAUUGCUUCCAAGAGUUCACAUCGACGAAGCAGUUUGGCACCUUAAGACAUUGGGGUGCUGCGGGAGCAAUCCCGUACCAACAAUGUGGCUUAUAACGGUGAACCCCUACCGCUUGCUAGCUUAUAUCGUGAAACGAUAGAAUUAAGUUAUCAGGCAAGGGCAAUACCGUGGGAAGUCUAACGUCAACACAACACGCUAUUUUGGUGGGCAGCUUGCUCGGCGAUGGCACGCUUCGCAAGCAGGGCACUCGUACGAAUGCCUUGCUCGAGGUGAAUCACGCCGCCAAGCACCGGAUGUACGUCGAUUGGAAGUGGAAUCACUUCCGCGACUACGUCCUGACCCCACCGAAACAGCGCCUGAGUAAUGGAGGGCGGAUUGCCUACCGCUUUACGACUCGCAGCCUACCGGUAUUUACGGACUACUAUAAGUGGUUUUACCGGUCCGGCUGCAAACAGAUUCCUCAAGGCCUGCGCCUGGAUCCGUUGAUCCUGGCGGUCUGGUUCAUGGAUGAUGGAGCGAAGAGUCGUUCAGCAUGCUAUCUCAACACCCAGCAAUUCAGCUUGGCAGAACAGCGGUUUCUGCAAGCGCUACUGGAACGAGAUUUGGGCAUACGCUCCGCGCUCAACCGCGAUAAACACUAUUGGCGGUUACGCAUUACGAGUGCCAGUACGAUCAAGAUGCGGCCCCUCGUGGAGCCGCACGUACUGCCGCUGUUCAGGUACAAGUUGACUAAUGACCCCGUAACGACUGAACCGAAAGGUGAGAGCUUGCUCUUCUGAGUGAGCUCAUACGCCACCUCCAACCACGAAAAAUCCCAUGGAUACGGCCUUUGGCCUACGUCCGGGCGGUUGGAUGAAGAUAUAGUCUGCGCCAUCAGUAAUGGUGGAUUGUAUAGCGAUGUCGGCUCGUCGCAUCCUGGGGGAGGAGCAUCUCCCAAGGGUUUGGCUGUUCGCCAAUUAAAGCGGUACGCGAGCUGGGUUCAGAACGUCGUAAGACAGUUCGGUCCCUAUCUACUAUGGGCGUUUGGAAACUUGAGGAAUGUCACUCCUAGUACGAGAGGACCGGAGUGAACGAACCGCUGGUGUACCGGUUGUCGUACCAACGGCACCGCCGGGUAGCUAUGUUCGGACGGGAUAACCGCUGAAAGCAUCUAAGCGGGAAGCCCUCUCCAAGAUGAGGUUUCCAUGUCCCGAUUUAUCGGGCGUGAGGUCCCAGGGAGAUAACCUGGUUGAUAGGCGUCAGGUGUACGCGUCGUGAGACGCUCAGCCGAGACGUACUAAUGACCGAUCGCAUGCACUCA
rnacentral:rRNA from 1 species